CACGAAACGAAGAUGAAUGGCCAGUAUGCGAAAUAUUAAAAAUAUUUGGCACUGCACAAUCGUACAAAACGGGAAAAGAAAAAUUGAAGAUGGCGGAACAAAUAUCAGAUAUCGACAGUGCAUCGGGAACUGAGUACGCGGAUUGCCUACGAAAGUCAAGGCACAGUUGAGUCGCUAAAGCAGAACAUUCAUCCGAUGAAGAGAACUCAAGGGAAGAUUAUCCAGACAUUCCAUUCACGCUGUCUCAGGAUACCACACGAUCAUUCUCGGCCAUCGGACAAGAUGCCAAAAGCGUGAAAAAAUAUGUCAUUCUUCGGGAGAGCAUUCUAUCGAGGAAACAUAAAGGAACGCAGGAAAAAAUCGUCAAAGGAGGAAAUACAAUCGGAGCGAUUCUGAAAGACAUACCCGAUAUUUACUGUAUCAAACCAAAACAAACCUCGAGUCAUAGAUGAGU